rnacentral:rRNA from 1 species
UACGUAGGGUGCAAGCGUUGUCCGGAUUUAUUGGGCGUAAAGGGCUCGUAGGCGGUUUGUCGCGUCGGGAGUGAAAUCCACUGGCUUAACUGGUGGCUUGCUUUCGAUACGGGCAGACUGGAGGUAUGCAGGGGAGAACGGAAUUCCUGGUGUAGCGGUGAAAUGCGUAGAGAUCGGGAGGAACACCAGUGGCGAAGGCGGCUACCUGGACCAGCACUGACACUGAGGCACGAAAGCGUGGGGAGCAAACAGG